AACGAACGCUGGCGGCAGGCCUAACACAUGCAAGUCGAACGAUGUAGCAACACAUAGUGGCGCACGGGUGAGUAAUGCAUGGGAACGUACCUUUUAGUGGGGUAUAACUCCGGGAAAAUGGAGCUAAUCCCGCAUACGCCCUGCGGGGAAAAGAUUUAUCGCUAAGAGAUCGGCCCAUGGGCGCUUAGGUAGUUGGUGGGGUAAUGGCCUACCAAACCUACGAUCUCUAGCUGGUCUCAGAGGAUGAUCAGCCACACUGGAACUGAGACACGGUCCAGACUCCUACGGGAGGCAGCAGUGGGGAAUAUUGGACAAUGGGCGCAAGCCUGAUCCAGCCAUGCCGCGUGAGUGAUGAAGGCUCUAGGGUUGUAAAGCUCUUUCGCCGAUGAAGAUAAUGACGGUAGUCGGAGAAGAAGCCCCGGCUAACUUCGUGCCAGCCGCCGCCGUAA
rnacentral:rRNA from 1 species